rnacentral:rRNA from 1 species
UACGAAGGGGGCUAGCGUUGCUCGGAAUCACUGGGCGUAAAGGGUGCGUAGGCGGGUCUUUAAGUCAGGGGUGAAAUCCUGGAGCUCAACUCCAGAACUGCCUUUGAUACUGAGGAUCUUGAGUCCGGGAGAGGUGAGUGGAACUGCGAAUGUAGAGGUGAAAUUCGUAGAUAUUCGCAAGAACUCCAGUGGCGAAGGCGGCUCACUGGCCCGAUACUGACGCUGAGGCACGAAAGCGUGGGGAGCAAACAGG